AUUGAACGCUGGCGGAAUGCUUUACACAUGCAAGUCGAACGGCAGCACGGACUUCGGUCUGGUGGCGAGUGGCGAACGGGUGAGUAAUGUAUCGGAACGUGCCCAGUCGUGGGGGAUAACGUAGUGAAAAUUACGCUAAUACCGCAUACGAUCUAUGGAUGAAAGCGGGGGAUCGCAAGACCUCGCGCGAUUGGAGCGGCCGAUAUCAGAUUAGGUAGUUGGUGGGGUAAAGGCCGACCAAGCAAACGAUCUGUAGCUGGUCUGAGAGGACGACCAGCCACACUGGAACUGAGACACGGUCCAGACUCCUACGGGAGGCAGCAGUGGGGAAUUUUGGACAAUGGGCGAAAGCCUGAUCCAGCCAUUCCGCGUGCAGGAUGAAGGCCCUCGGGUUGUAAACUGCUUUUGUAUAGAACGAAAAGGUUUCUACUAAUACUAGGAGCUCAUGACGGUACUGUAAGAAUAAGCACCGGCUAACUACGUGCCAGCAGCCGCCGUAA
rnacentral:rRNA from 1 species